rnacentral:rRNA from 1 species
CAACCCCGUUCCUCUCCUCCCUCGCUCCCCACGCGCCGCCACACACUCACGCACGCGUAGGGCAGCGCCCAGCCCCGUGCGCCUCCUGCCUCCCGCCCCGUCACCCGCGUCUGACGACCAGCGGCGCCCCUCCUGGCCUCCUUCCUCUCUCUUUCCUGAACUGCGCCCUUCAUCCCCAAGCUCUGCGCGCUCCAUCCAUGGUCGCCCUGACCUCCUGCCACAACGUCGCCGUCCCCCCUCGCCCCGGCGAGUCGGGAACCAUGCACCCACCUCGCCGGAGCACCUCGCCGCCUCGACCACGACGCCGCCGUCCUCUCCGUCAUCGCCCUGUCGUCCCCGUCCUCCUCCCCGAACGACCUCCACGCACCUCGACGCCCCCCUGCUCACCAACACCGACAUCGAGACCGACGCCGCCUGCCACCCAGUACGACUACGGUGUUGACGACCCCUCCUUCUUGCCAGAGCAAUCAGAUGCCGGAGCCCAGGAUCCAUACGCCACCGUUGACGACGACUCCUACUACACCGGAGGUGCCUACUAUUACGUGCAGCCCGCUGGCGACGACCAGGAGUAGUUAGGAGGAUCCCAGGCAGGAGGCCUGCGCCUAUUUUGAUCUGUAUCCCAGUUUGUGCUAGCCUUCUUAAGGCAAACUUGUUUAACUUAUGUCCGUACUCAGAUAUUGUUGCUUCCGCUGACUCGUCUAUGAUCGAGCUCUUGUAUUCGAGCCUUCGAGGCCCUGGC